UCGACCCCAGGAUGGGUGAGGCCACCCGCUGAGUUUAAG
rnacentral:rRNA from 2 species